GGAAGGGGUGUAUUUAUUAGUAAAACCAACCGGGGUUUUUCCCGUUCCCUUGGGUGAUUCAUAAUACUUCUCGAAAUCGCAUGGCCUUUGUGCCGGCGAUGCUUCAUUCAAAUAUCUGCCCUUAUCACUUUGGAAUGGUAGGAUAGAGGCCUACCAUGGUUUCAACGGUAACCGGGGAAAUAAGGGUUCGAUUCCGGAGAGGGAGCCUGAGAAACGGGCUACCCACAUCAAGGAAGGCAGCAGGCGCGCAAAUUUACCCAAUCCCGACACGGGGAGGUAGUGACAAUAAAUAACAAUAUAGGGCUCUUUCGGGUCUUAUAAUUGGAAUGAGUACAAUUUAAAUCCCUUAACGAGGAACAAUUGGAGGGCAAGUCUGGUGCCAGCAGCCGCGGUAAUUCCAGCUCCAAUAGCGUAUAUUAAAGUUGUUGCAGUUAAAAAGCCCGUGGUUGAACUUCAGACCUGGCUGGGUGGUCCGCUUAACGGCGUGUACUGUUCGGCUGGGCCUUACCUCUUGGUGAGCCAGCGUGCCCUUUAUUGGUGUGCGUUGGGGAACCAGGACUUUUAC
rnacentral:rRNA from 1 species